rnacentral:lncRNA from 1 species
CAUGGACAUGGACACCGAGGCAGAUGCCAGCGACGCUAGCCUAGCUAGUGUUGGCGCGAGCUCGACGUCGAGCGUUCCCGCCCGCAGGAAACGCAGGCCGAAGUCUUCGGCAGACAAAAAGGGAGCCAAAAAUAUCGGCAUUGGAGUCGGGAUGACGGGAGAGCCACCGCUCCCAGCGGUAAGAUCGCCGCCGUCAUCGCCUUUUGAGCCCUAUAGCAACAACGCCAGAACAUCGUAGAAUAGAAGGGCAAUGCGGGCAAUGGGUUAUGAAGGGUAUGAAGAGCCCUGGGUAGGGUGCUGUGUGCAGUGCAAGCAUAUUGUGUGUGUGUGUGUGUGUUUCCUCGUCUGCUUCUCCCACAUGUUGCAUUCGAAGGAGAGCGAUAUGCAAAAUACUAGAUUUGGUAGUAUUUUUUUGGAGGUUGAUAGGUCGAUAGGCGAAGGGGCAAGGCGAUCAACGGUGCCGGUGAGAGAGCGGGAGAAUGUCAGAGAGGGGAAUAUUGCGGGAUCCACGAGCCAGCUCACCCUCAAGAAUGCCAUGUGAUGCCCUUGAAUUUGGUUCAAGGGCAGUAGAAGAGAUGAGAUCAACUGCAGCAAGGGGGACUGCGUAGAGUAGCUACGCUGAACAUGCCGGCAGUGGGAAAAUACACAUCGGCAGUGUUAGGGCGUUUUGUGUGUGUGACCGUUAAGGAAAAAAAAAACAGACCGGCCAACGUAGAGGACCCUUUUACCCGAAUCGAAAUAAAAAGUGAGUCCAGUCCAAAGGGAAAAUGAAUCCCAGAUUCAAUAUUUUUAAAACCCAUAGGGCGUAAAUUGUAUCGGCUGGCUUCCCGUAGAUGGGCCAAAAUUACCAUUCCCCGGCCCGCGGAAUCCUGGUCACACCCCUGCUCGGGCGCGACCCGCCACAGCGCCACCGACAAUUAAUAUAAUUAAUCUACGCCUACAUAAACGCAUACCUAUUUACAUGCGUAUAUAAAGACACACAAAAAUAAUAUCUGUCUAUAUUAAUUAAUAUUCAAUUAAUUAGCCA